AUUGAACGCUGGCGGCAGGCCUCACACAUGCAAGUCGAGCGCGCGGCGGACGGGUGAGUAAUGUCUGGGAAACUGCCUGAUGGAGGGGGAUAACUCCUGGAAACGGUCGCUAAUACCGCAUACCAUCAGAUGUGCCCCGGUGGGAUUAGCUAGUAGGUGGGGUAACGGCUCACCUAGGCGACGAUCCCUAGCUGGUCUGAGAGGAUGACCAGCAAAACGGGAACUGAGACACGGUCCAGACUCCAACGGGAGGCAGCAGUGGGGAAUAUUGCACAAUGGGCGCAAGCCUGAUGCAGCCAUGCCGCGUGUGGGAAGAAGGCCUUCGGGGUGUAAAGCACUUUCAGCGGGGAGGCGUUACCCGCAGAAGAAGCACCGGCGAACUCCGUGCCAGCAGCCGCGGUAAUAC
rnacentral:rRNA from 1 species